rnacentral:rRNA from 1 species
UACGGGGGGGGCAAGCGUUGUUCGGAAUUACUGGGCGUAAAGGGCUCGUAGGCGGCCAACUAAGUCAGACGUGAAAUCCCUCGGCUUAACCGAGGAAUUGCGUCUGAUACUGGAUGGCUGGAGUUUGGGAGAGGGAUGCGGAAUUCCAGGUGUAGCGGUGAAAUGCGUAGAUAUCUGGAGGAACACCGGUGGCGAAGGCGGCAUCCUGGACCAAUACUGACGCUGAGGAGCGAAAGCCAGGGGAGCAAACGGG